GUGCUCGCUUGGGCAGCAUAUAUACUAAAACUGGAAUGAUACAAGAUUAGCAUGGUGCCUGUAGAAGGAUGACAUGCAAAUUCAUGAAGUGUUCUAUUAAAAA
ensembl:snRNA U6 U6 spliceosomal RNA